AACGAACGCUGGCGGCAGGCCUAACACAUGCAAGUCGAGCGAGGACUUCGGUUCUAGCGGCGGACGGGUGAGUAACGCGUGGGAAUGUUCCCUUCUCUACGGAAUAGCUCUGGGAAACUGGUAGUAAUACCGUAUACGCCCUAUUGGGGAAAGAUUUAUUGGAGAAGGAUCAGCCCGCGUUGGAUUAGGUAGUUGGUGGGGUAAUGGCCUACCAAGCCGACCAUCCAUAGCUGGUUUGAGAGGAUGAUCAGCCACACUGGGAGUGAGACACGGCCCAGAAUCCUACGGGAGGCAGCAGUGGGGAAUCUUAGACAAUGGGGGCAACCCUGAUCUAGCCAUGCCGCGUGAGUGAUGAAAGCCUUAGGGUUGUAAAGCUCUAGCAGCUGGGAAGGUAAUGACGGUACCAGCAGAAGAAGCCCCGGCUAACUCCGUG
rnacentral:rRNA from 1 species